rnacentral:piRNA from 1 species
UCAUUGUGCAGACGUGGUGACUUUUCUGGA